rnacentral:rRNA from 1 species
AUACGUAGGGGGCAAGCGUUAUCCGGAUUUACUGGGUGUAAAGGGAGUGUAGGUGGUCUGGCAAGUCAGAUGUGAAAGCCCGCGGCUCAACUGCGGGACUGCAUUUGAAACUGUCAGACUGGAGUGCAGGAGAGGAAAGUGGAAUUCCUAGUGUAGCGGUGAAAUGCGUAGAUAUUAGGAAGAACACCAGUGGCGAAGGCGGUUUUCUGGACUGUAACUGCCACUGAGGCUCGAAAGCGUGGGGAGCAAACAGGAUUAGAUACCCUAAUAGUCCACGCCGUAAACGAUGAAUACUAGGUGUCGGGUGGCAAAGCCAUUCGGUGCCGCAGCUAACGCAAUAAGUAUUCCACCUGGGGAGUACGUUCGCAAGAAUGAAACUCAAAUGAAUUGACGGGG